rnacentral:rRNA from 1 species
AUUGAACGCUGGCGGCAGGCCUAACACAUGCAAGUCGAACGAGUGGCGGACGGGUGAGUAAUAUAUGGGAAUCUGCCCUGUGGAGGGGGAUAACUACUGGAAACUGUCGCUAAUACCGCAUACCAUCGAAUGAGCCCAUGUUGGAUUAGCUAGUUGGUGGGGUAAAGGCACACCAAGGCGACGAUCCCUAACUGGUCUGAGAGGAUGAUCCGCCACACUGGAAGUGAGACACGGUCCCGACUCCUACGGGAGGCAGGAGUGGGGAAUUAUGGACAAAGGGCGAAAGCCUGAUCCAGCCAUACCGCGUGGGUGAAGGAGGCCUUCGGGUUGUAAAGGCCUUUUGUGGGGGAAGCGGUACCCACAGAAUAAGCACCGGCUAACUCCGUGCCAGCAGCCGCGGUAAUAC